GACGAACGCUGGCGGCGUGCUUAACACAUGCAAGUCGAACGGAAAGGCCCUGCUUUUGUGGGGUGCUCGAGUGGCGAACGGGUGAGUAACACGUGAGUAACCUGCCCUUGACUUUGGGAUAACUUCAGGAAACUGGGGCUAUUACCGGAUAGGAGCUCCUGCUGCAUGGUGGGGGUUGGAAAGUUUCGGCGGUUGGGGAUGGACUAGCGGCUUAUCAGCUUGGUGGUGGGGUAGUGGCUUACCAAGGCUUUGACGGGUAGCCGGCCUGGGAGGGGUACCGGCCACAUGGGGACGGAGAUACGGCCCAGACUCGUAUGGGAGGCAGGGGUGGGGAAGAUUGCACAAGGGGCGGGAGCCUGAUGCAGCAACGCCGCGUGCGGGAUGACGGCCUUCGGGUUGGAAACCGCUUUCGCCUGUGACGAAGCGUGAGUGACGGUAAUGGGUAAAGAAGCACCGGCUAACUACGUG
rnacentral:rRNA from 1 species